rnacentral:rRNA from 1 species
GGGAGUAUCGAUAAAGAUGUUCGACACGUGGAAUUGAGUAUUGAGCAUAACGGCACGUUUAGAACGGUGGUACUCACCGAAUCAGCCGACGGCUGGCGUUAUCGACCAGAUUCUGCUUUGGCGGACGAAGGAGGUUAGUGCAAUGGCAUAAGCCAGCUUGACUGCGAGCGUGACGGCGCGAGCAGGUGCGAAAGCAGGUCAUAGUGAUCCGGUGGUUCUGAAUGGAAGGGCCAUCGCUCAACGGAUAAAAGGUAC